ACUACACCAUGCUUUCCAUACAUAGGUUUGGUCUUGACCUAAAUUUUCCUUAUAAAAAAAUAAGGACUAGAAGGCACUUACGGGAUUAUGGCUCAUGGGGAUUAAAGAGGAGGAGAUCUGGACAGACCCGAGGGACCUGUGGGACUCUCCUCCCUAAAACUAUAACCCAAACUACUGGUAGCUCUCCAGACACUUGGAGUGAGUCAGACUGCCACCCAAAAUCUGACUCUGGAGUAUAGACUUAGAUAAUUCCCAAACCUUGGUUCAGAGUAUACCCUGCCCUUAGUGCUGCUUUUGAGAAGUUUUAGAGACUUUUAUUCAUUCUCUUCCCCCUCUUAAUCCUAGGGGUUAACUACAGAAAUAUUGUUACAAUUAUUACCUGUCUUCCACAGGCACUGAUUUUUCUUGACUUUUGGAGGCAGAGAGGGGCCCAAGGAGAGAUCCCCUCAUGCGGUGAUUCUGGAAUACUAGGGCCUGGGACCUGGGAAAAGCCUGAGAAGAAGCCGAAAACAUCCUCUGAGCACUUCACACCCAAGAUCGUGCCCUUUGACCUUCUACCUGAGACUGUGCCCUUUGACCUGUUGCCUGAGACUAUGCCUGAGCAUCCACCCUUUGACCUGGCACCCAGGACAGUGCCCUAUUACCCACAGUCUGGGUCCCCGACUAACCCUGAGGAGCUGACAGAAGCAGGGGGUAUUUAAAGUGUCUGGGAUCACAUGGUACCCUGAUCACGGAGAGGCAUCUUCCCCUUAAGGGCUCAGCGGUGGUCAAGAUAGAAAGGGACAACAUGGGCCCUGACCAGGACCCAUCACAAGUGAUCGUGUGCAGUGAAAAUUCGUAGUGUAGCAAGCUAUGGGCAAAAAAGGGGAGGUAGAGGGCUGUGUGUGUGUGUGUGUGUGUGUGCGUGUGUGUGUGUGUGUGUGUGUGUGUGUGUGUGUAGUUGAGGUGUUCUACCCUCCUGUUUUGGGAUUGAAGGGAAGAAGGGUCUAUUCCAUCUUCCAAUUUUAGGAUUUUAGCAGGCAUCCUCAAAGCAAACUCCAUGUCUGAGCUGCAACCUCCCCCCCUCCCCCAAUCCCUAGUUCAUGGAACUUGACUGUUAAAGAAUGAGCCUAUGGCUCCCAGUUCUGCACAGAAUACUCCCUCAGCUCCUUCGCUGCCUUUCCUUCCUAGGAAAUACUCUAGCCAAAAGCAGCCAGGGGUGUCUGAGGGGAGUAGGAGGAGCAUUAUCUGGAGACCUCCCCCAAAAGGUUCCACACCUCCUUUUCCAGCUGAGGGAAAAAUAUAUGCAUUUUUUUUCCACUUAAAAAAAAUAUAUUUUUUCAAAGAGAUUCUUUGUGCUUGCCAGAUCCUCCCCUAGGCAGGGUGCCCAAGAGCUGCCAACCCAAGAGAAACCCGCAGAAGGAAGAUGAUACAGUGGCCCAGUAGGGUUUUAGCCUCCUUUUCCCUCCAGGGUACGGAGGGUUAUCUUCUAGGGUUAAUGUCUGUAACACCUUUGACUUAUCCACCAAGAAUUGAAGUCCUAGAGAUUUUGUUUUGUUUGUCACCCUUUCCCCUAACUCUUCCACAUGCAUACGUUCAGCUUCACAGUCUUUAAACCUUCCUUCAUCUUAUACUCUAACAGAUACCUCACAGAUUUGAUAAGCUUCUUCCCAAAGUGUUCUCUGGACGUUACAGGGAAGAAAGAGGGUGGAGACUGCCUAACCUCAGAAGCUCAUAUUUAGGGCCUCAUGAUAGUUGUAUUUUCUUUUCCCUGAAUUUUCUUCAUUCCACAACAGGGAUUCUCAUACAAAAAUGGGAGCUCUUAAAGGAAGGGGCUUGGGGGCUGUGGUAUCCCAUCAGGUGGUUCUUCUGACUUAUGGGUCAGAAUUAACAGAGGCAAGACCCUUCAUCUCUGUCUGACACAGGGUUGGCAGGGAGCCCUUGUGGAUGUUGGUGAGGGUGAGGGGCAGAACUGUGUGUGCAUAUGCUCAGACGUGGACAUUAAAAGUAAUUCUGGAAACCAA